rnacentral:rRNA from 1 species
AUUGAACGCUGGCGGCAGGCCUAACACAUGCAAGUCGAACGAGUGGCGGACGGGUGAGUAAUGUCUGGGAAACUGCCUGAUGGAGGGGGAUAACUACUGGAAACGGUAGCUAAUACCGCAUACCAUCGGAUGUUCCCAGAUGGGAUUAGCUAGUAGGUGGGGUAAAGGCUCACCUAGGCGACGAUCCCUCGCUGGUCUGAGAGGAUGACCAGCAACACUGGAACUGAGACACGGCCCAGACUCCUACGGGAAGCAGCAGUGGGGAAUAUUGCACGAUGAGCGCAAGCCUGAAGAAGCCAUGCAGCGUGUGUGAAGAAGGCCUUCGGGUUGUAAAGUACUUUCAGCGGGGAGGCGUUACCCGUAGAAGAAGCACCGGCUAACUCCGUGCCAGCAGCCGCGGUAAUUC